rnacentral:rRNA from 1 species
UACGGGGGGGGCAAGCGUUGUUCGGAAUUACUGGGCGUAAAGGGCGCGUAGGCGGCCUACUAAGUCGGACGUGAAAUCCCUCGGCUCAACCGAGGAACUGCGUCCGAUACUGGUGGGCUUGAAUCCGGGAGAGGGAUGUGGAAUUCCAGGUGUAGCGGUGAAAUGCGUAGAUAUCUGGAGGAACACCGGUGGCGAAGGCGGCAUCCUGGACCGGUAUUGACGCUGAUGCGCGAAAGCCAGGGGAGCAAACGGG